AUUUGUUUUUCCUUAACGAGAUUGAGAAUAUAUCUUUUUACUAGUCUUAAGCUUUGUCUAUUUAAAUUUUUCUAAUAUAUAUAUUUUAUCAUAAAAGUAAACUUUAACAUUUGCAUUAAGCUAUAAUCAUAUUUAAAAUAAGUAUUUACACACUGUUAUUUUUGAUGGCGUCAAUGAUGACUUCCAAUUCCUUUAGGCCUCGACUUCCUUCUGUUUGCAUUCUUCACUCUGAUUCAUUUCUUAGUUUUCAGGAGGGAUAGGUGAGUUGUAUACUUGCUGAGGAAGCUUUGCACGUGAAGAAGUCCUUUGCAGUGGGAGAGCAACUUGGCUGGACACAGAAUUCUUGGCUCUUAUCAUUAUCCUCAUUUUGAAGAUGGUAUAACUGAAGUGCAGAGAGCUUAAGUGACUUGUCAAAGGUGAAACAACUGGUAAGUGGAAUUAGGAUUUGAACCAGGGGAGUUUUGUUUCAAAGCCUACACUCAUAACCACUACACCAAAUAGUCCAUUACAUAGUCAUCUGCAGAUUAUUGUCUAUUAGAUAUUUAUGGAUGUUAAUUCAUUACCUUUUGUCUUUUAGAGAAGAUACUAUUGAAACAAGUCAUAUUUUUCUUCAUUGGAAGGUAAAUGUUUUCUAUCUUCUCUCUGCCUGGACGCAACAUCAAACUAGUGGUCUCUGUGCCUUGUCCUUUUAAACAACAUUUCUGUCUGUGAAGACCUACUUCAUCUCUGAAAAGUUUUCUUUUACUAUUUUAUUCAUUUAAUUGUUUCUGCAAUAUUGUCUCCUUUGGGGGUUCCCAUGUAUGUAGGUAGCAUAUUCUGGAUCUAUACUUCACUCAUAACUUUAUUUAACAAAUACUCAUUGAUUUUCUACUGUGUGCCAGACACUGUGAAUAUAAUGAUGAUGAAAACAUGGCCACUAACCUAUUAAUCUUACAGUCUAACUAGGGAGAGGCAGAUCUUAAAAAGUAAAGGGACACUAUUAUAAUUGUAAAUGUCAUUUAAUGCAAAAUCUGAAGGCUAAGUAGACUCAGCCAGUUGAAAGAGUGGAAGAGUAUAUCAGGCAGAGGGGACAGAAUGAAUCAAGGCUCCAAGCAGGCUAGACUUGGUGAGUACUAGGGUCUACUGAAGGACAAUGAGCAAUGGAGAGAUUAUUAUAAAAUGAGACUGCCCAUGUAGUUAGGAGCUAGAUAAUGUAGGUCUGUGCAGUCCAUGUUAAGCUUUUGCUUCUUAACAAAGGGAAGCCAUUAAAAGCUUUGAAGUAGUGGAAUUGAAUGACCUACAAAUAACCUGACUUGAAAGCUGACUGGAUGGAAUAAGAGGCUGUGUGGGGAGACCAGUUAGAAGGCUCUUGCAGUUUUCCAGCUAAGAGAUGAUGAUGGCUUAGACCAGAAUCUAGCAGGGGAGCUGGGGAAAAGAGGAAAAAUUUCAGAAACAAUUACAGCGUAAGUGCUUUGUAUUUACAAUUUUUAGUAAAAGUGACAGAGAGCAACCAAAACUAGUAGAAUAAGCCUAAUUAUAAGAUUACAGGGAUGCAUCCAAGGAAGUGAAAGCAUAUAGCUGAGACUUUGAAAAUGCCUGGCACCAAGACGUGGGAAGUCUUAGGAAACUCAUGCAAUAACUUGUUUUUAUCUUUCAUCUCUGUUUCUAAAUUUCACUGCCUUCUUCUCUGGCUAUGCAUACUGGCUUAAUCUGUUCCAUGUACGUAGGGUGGAAGAUGGCCAGAGUACAUCGCCCACAUUUUUGCUUCUUCUUCAUUCAAAGGAAAGCAUGCAACACUGAAUUUUUAAUUUUUAGUUUCAGUUCUAAUUUCUCAAGAUCGUGAGCCAGGUUGAUCCAAUUUGAGUCUUUUCAAGUGGAUUCAGUGGGAAGUUUUAUGGUGAAAAUAAGAUUCUGAGAACCCACCACACUGGAUGGAGCUAGGGUUAGCAUUUGGAAUAUACAUGAGAAAGUUCCUGUCUAAUGAUAUUUAUUUUCUUAUGAGAAGUAGAUGCAGUAGAUUUCUGAGAAUAAGAGAAUGUGGUAGAGUCAAAGAUUUGAGGAGACUGGUGAAAGUUUUCACUUGCAGUUUCAGAAAGAGAAAAACUGAGUAGAGAGCUUUAGUAUAAUCCUAGGUAGAAUUGAGAGCCCAGCUGGGAUUAACAACCUUGAACUUAUGGUGGUACUAGUCUGCAAAUGGACAAAGGCGGAAAGAGUUUGGUAUUAGAUGAUGACUAUGAUGCAUAUUAAGGAUGAGGAGAUAAGUGAAGAGAGGAGAUUUAUGGGUAGAGAAGAAGGAGAAAGAAUGAGAUGUAUAAAGGCCCAGAGGCAGGAGAGGUUUGGUAGGUUUGUGGCACUGUGAGAAAGCUGGAUUGGGGACAUAGCGUGAGGGCUGGAGUCACAAGUUGGCUUUUCUUCAGCUCAGCACCCAGCGCAGUGCCCCCAGUGCCCAACCCAAUAUGUACACGUAGUAAGUGCUCAAUAAAUAUUUGUUGAAUGAA